rnacentral:rRNA from 1 species
CCUACGGGUGGCAGCAGUGAGGAAUAUUGGUCAAUGGCCGGAAGGCUGAACCAGCCAAGCCGCGUGAAGGACGAAGGUGCCAAGCAUUGUAAACUUCUUUUGUCAAGGGACAAAAUCAGGCUCGAGAGCCUGACCGAGGGUACUUGAAGAAAAAGCAUCGGCUAACUCCGUGCCAGCAGCCGCGGUAAUACGGAGGAUGCGAGCGUUAUCCGGAUUUAUUGGGUUUAAAGGGUGCGUAGGGGGACUGUUAAGUCAGCGGUAAAAGCCCGGGGCUAACCCCCGGCGAGCCGUUGAAACUGGCGGGCUUGAGAUGUCGAGAGGUAUGCGGAAUGCGCAGUGUAGCGGUGAAAGGCUUAGAUAUUGCGCAGAACUCCGAUUGCGAAGGCAGCAUACCGGCGGCGAUCUGACGCUGAGGCACGAAAGCGUGGGUAUCGAACAGGAUUAGAUACCCUUGUAGUC